UAAAACCACCACAGGUGUUGUCUGGAUGUGGAGGAAACUGGAUGUGAAGGCAAUCUGGGAUGCUAGGAAUCUUGAUCUUGCAAAUCAUUUAACAUAGCUGUGUGAGCCAGUGCCAAGGUGUAGAGGUUGCCCUCGGCUGUUGUGGUGGCCGCAAUCCUUGUACGAAAGAAUAGCUGAUAACCAGUUCCACACCUUGAUAACCAAGGCUUCCUCCUGUCCCGUUGCAUCAUGGAUUCCGCCUCUUUCCAGUCUGAACAAUCAUUACAUUCUCCUGAUCAGCUCCCAUCCAGAGGUGCAGAUCCCAGGGAGCUGCCUCAGGUCCACCCAGAAGAUGCAACCAAAAGACUUGGGAAGGAGCCAGACAAAAAUAGCCAAGAACCACAGGGCCUGAUGAGGCUCCGCCACCCCCUGAGAGCACUGGCCAAGGUAAGAGCAGAUGUCUACUGUCAGUGUCUGGAUCCUUUUGCCCCCCCAGUCGAACCGUGCUAUUAUCAAGUCAACUGGCCACAAGGAGUGCUACAGAGGUGGGCAAAGGAGAAGGAGGACAGGGAGAGAAAUCUUUGCCUGGAUGACUACCAAGACGCAGCCGUCAGGAGAAGCAACACAUUGGACGAAGCCCCUGGGGAACAGCCGUCAGGGUAUGGGGAGUUGGAGGCUAAGAAAAGCGACCCCUGGAGUACCAACCACUGAAAUGAAAUUCCGACACAGGUGCUUGGACAAGAAACAAUCGUGAUAAUAUUGCCUGGUGUGGCGAGUACAUAGUAAAAAAAAUUCUGGUUUCUGUA